UCCAUAUGGUUUUUGCAAAAAAUAAAAAGGUUGGAUACUUUUCUAACAGACCUCGUAAACAGAGGUGGGUAACCCCGGCUUCAGUGAGUAAAAGUCCUACCAGAUAUUUCUUCCGUCUACUCACUAUUCCAGAUGAUUGUGAUUAGUUCAGCUCUUCAGGCAGGUAGAUGAGCUAAUCAGCGACAUAGCGCGUUUUAGGUUCACAGGUAGAAAUGAUACAUGGUAGGAUUUUUACUCACUGAAACUAGGGUUACCUAACUCUGAGUAUUGCCUGAAUUGGGCUUGUAGAAAUGUAAAACAUGGCUGCCAGUGGUUUUAAUUUGUAUCCGCUCUCACAGUGUGCAUCAGCAACCUGUUACUUUUGGUUUUGAAAACUUUGGCUCAUGUAAAUCAGUUAGUGAUAUUUUUAUUUUAUUUUUAUUUUUUUCUUCUUUUACACAGCGCAGGUAACUCAGUGGGAUAAGGGGUUGGGCUGCAAUUAAUGUUGACCUGGGUUUGAUUAUCUGUCAAACACUACCUGUCUGUGUCCUUGGACAAGACGCAUCAUCUGCAUUGUUCCAGUUCACAUUCACCCAGCUGCAAAUGGGUACCAGCUUUGGCUGGGGAAGUAACUUGUGACGGACUGGUGUCCCGUCCAGGGGACAUUACCUGCUCAUCUGCUUCAUGCUACAGAAUCUGGAGAUGAGCACGACUACCAGUGAGCUUGACUUCUUCAUUUCUUAUGUUGAAUUUUUUUCAGAAUGCUUCGUGUCAAUUGUCAGCAAUAUGAAAAAUUAAUCAGUGAUGAGAAAAUACUGAAUAAACUCACCAGUUGUCCAUAUAACAUGAUCCCUUCUGUGACAAGGACUGUUUCCCAGCCCGCCAACCAACUGUGUUUUGUCUGAAACAUUAAACACAGAGCAAACUUUUGUGCCACUGUGCCAGCGUUCAUGAGAACACAUUGCUCAUCACAUAAGGCUCCUUAUACAAUCUCCUAGAUUGGACCUGAUGUUUGUGGCUGUUAAACAUACAUUAACUCAAGUUAUUUAUAUUGACGGGUGCUUUUGUUUUUUUUUUAGAGUGAUGGUGUCUGAGAAGCAGUGGUUCAGGUCAUAGCCAAAAUUCAAAGGAUUCUUCUCAUAACAAGCACUAUAACCACUAAUUGUAGUUGCUUAAAAAACUGAGGUAACA